rnacentral:lncRNA from 1 species
AGGAUAAAGCUAUUCACCAUUGUUUCAACAUGAAGGUUUGUAAUAAAAAUUUGUUUCUAUCAGCAUUGCUUUGCAUUGCUGUUGCAGGAGUUUUGGGUCAAGCUCCUAGUAAUCCUCCUACGUCUACGCCGGCGCCACCCACACCACCGGCUUCUACUCCUCCUCCGACGACUCAAGCACCGCCUACACCAACCGCCACUCCGCCACCGGUUUCUACUCCUCCUCCCACUUCAUCACCGCCCCCAGUGACAGCUUCUCCACCCCCAGUUUCAACUCCUCCACCCAGUUCUCCUCCUCCUGCAACUCCACCACCUGCUUCUCCUCCUCCUGCAACUCCACCUCCAGCUUCUCCACCUCCUGCCACUCCUCCACCAGCUUCUCCACCUCCCGCCACUCCACCACCUGCAACCCCACCGCCAGCAACUCCUCCUCCUGCUACCCCACCACCAGCUCCAUUGGCUUCUCCUCCAGCCACAGUCCCAGCUAUCUCUCCAGUACAAACACCAUUGACAUCGCCACCAGCUCCGCCGACCGAGGCCCCAGCACCUACCCUCGGGG